rnacentral:misc_RNA from 1 species
AACGCAUAUUGCGCCCCCUGGUAUUCCGGGGGGCAUGCCUGUUCGAGCGUCAUUAUCACCCCUCAAGCCCGGCUUGUUGUUGGACGUCGGCGGGGCCUCCGGGCCUCGCCCGUCUCAAAGAUAAUGACGGCGUCUGUGAGGACUCCUGUACACUGAGCUUUCGGGCACGUACUAGGCUAGAACUCCAGGCCCGGUCUCCCGGUGUGUCGGCUCGCCGACUCACCACUCUUUUUCACAAGGUUGACCUCGGAUCAGGUAGGAAUACCCGCUGAACUUAA